AAUAUUGCACAAUGUGGGAAACCCUGAUGCAGCGACGCCGCGUGAGCGAAGAAGGCCNNNGGGUCNUAAAUCCCUGUCCUAAGNGAANAAACGGACGGUACCUUAGGAGUAAGCCCUGGCUAACUACGCGCCAGCAGCAGCGGUAAUACGUAGGGGGCGAGCGUUACCCGGAAUUAUUGGGCGUAAAGGGUUCGUAGGCGGCCUUUUAAGUCAGAUGUGAAAGGCUACGGCUUAACCGUAGUUAGCAUUUGAAACUAAAAGGCUUGAGUGCAGGAGAGGAGAGUGGAAUUCCUAGUGUAGCGGUGAAAUGCGUAGAUAUUAGGAGGAACACCAGUGGCGAAGGCGACUCUCUGGACUGCAACUGACGCUGAGGCACGAAAGCGUGGGGAGCGAAC
rnacentral:rRNA from 1 species